rnacentral:rRNA from 1 species
GACGGAGGAUGCAAGUGUUAUCCGGAAUCACUGGGCGUAAAGCGUCUGUAGGUGGUUCGAAAAGUCCACUGUUAAAGAUUGAGGCUUAACUUCAAAAAUGCCGUGGAAACUUUCAAACUAGAGUAUGGUAGGGGUAGAGGGAAUUUCCGAGUGGAGCGGUGAAAUGCGUAGAUAUUGGAAAGACCACCGAUGGCGAAGGCACUCUACUGGGCCAUUACUGACACUGAGAGACGAAAGCUAGGGGAGCAAAUGGGG